GCCACCACUCCUGGUGGUGAACAUUUGCAGAGCAGGUUUUGUACUGGGUUUGGGAAAUGAAAGUGUUCUGCCUACAUGUAUGCUGCGGGUCAGAAGAGGGCACCAGAUCUCAUAAAUAGUUGGAGCCACCAAGUGGUUUCUGGGAUUUGAACUCAGGACCUCUGGAAGAGCAGUCAGUGCUCUUAACCACUGAGCCAUCUCUCCAGCCUGACAAGUUUCUGUCAUGUAUUAGCACCUAGCUUCAACCUUGACACUGUUCUGGGAAGAAAUGGUUACUUUGUAUGCAUGAUUUGGACUUUCAUGUUCAAAAUGCAGUUGUUUUUUUAGAGGUAA